AAUGCAGACCUUGCUCACACAAGCAGAGGGUAGGAGCUGGGGAAAAGGCUUUGAAGACCUCCAAAAAAAGAAUAUUGGAUAGGUGCUUUGGCUAUAGAGGAAUAACCUGGAUGUUCCACUUUAAAGUAAAACAGACAAUACCAACGUCGGACUGUAAUUGACUGGAUGCCAUUACCUGGGUCUCAUUAUUAUUCUCCAAGCACUACCCACAGCACCCCAUUUCCUGUCAUACUACAUCAAAGGAGAGCCACCUUCUAUUCCCUGCCUGGAUGAGGAGCUGGAUUUCCAUCACCUUACCAACAUCACCCUGAAAACAGCUGAAAGAGUAACUUCCAGGGAGCAGCAACUGCUCAACCAGAACUGAAGCAUCUAGAAAUCUUCACAUGGCUGAUGCUGCACAAAGAAGGAGUGAGGGAAGAAAUUAAUUCCCAGAAGACUAAUUCUGCGUGAAGGGGAGCGCUAAUUUUGGAAAUGCCAUACCUCUGCUCUGUGGGUUCUUCACAGAGCAACACACUGUGCUUCAGCAGAGAACUGACAUUGAACACGUAUCUUUCCCUUCCCUCUUGAAAAUGUAGUACUUUCAAAUGCAGCCUUCAUUGUUCCUGUGAACAAAAAUUAUCAGUAUUAAAUUGCAUGCUUUCAGUCAUGUUUUGGGAAUAUUUGGAAUCAGUGUGUGUCAGACAUGGCUACAUGUGACUUUUCUGCUUCUAUGCAUGCCUUUUCAAGGUAAAUUGACACCUUUUUUUUUUCCAGACUGAAAGAUCUCUUAAGGAACCCAUACCUAUUUAUUUGGCCGUCAGGUAGAAUUUAGUUGUUAUUAGAAGCACAAUUAAAGCACAACUUGCUCUGUCAGUGUAUUCUCUUUACAUGUCAUGUAGUGGACUGGGCCAUAGGCAGUUUCUUAAAAUGGAGGAUUUGUUCCUUUUUAAAUCAAGGUAGUCUCCUGUUGAUCCAGUUCAU